ACCAGACUCCUACGGGAGGCAGCAGUGGGGGAUAUUGCACAAUGGGGGGAACCCUGAUGCAGCGACGCCGCGUGGGUGAAGAAGUAUUUCGGUAUGUAAAGCCCUAUCGGCAGGGAAGAAAUUGGACGGUACCUGACUAAGAAGCCCCGGCUAACUACGUGCCAGCAGCCGCGGUAAUACGCAGGGGGCAAGCGUUAUCCGGAUUCACUGGGUGUAAAGGGAGCGUAGACGGCCAUGCAAGCCUGGAGUGAAAGCCCGGGGCCCAACCCCGGGACUGCUCUGGGAACUGUGCGGCUGGAGUGCGGGAGGGGCAGGCGGAAUUCCUGGUGUAGCGGUGAAAUGCGUAGAUAUCAGGAGGAACACCGGCGGCGAAGGCGGCCUGCUGGACCGUGACUGACGUUGAGGCUCGAGAGCGUGGGGAGCAAACAGGAUUAGAUACCCCAGUA
rnacentral:rRNA from 1 species